rnacentral:ncRNA from 1 species
AACCCCCUGAAAUCUGCAAUCAACUUGGCGGAAGGUUCAGAUACUCAGGGGGUCAUAAAGCAGGCGCUUUGCCUGUGAAGGAUUAUAACGCAUGCACCAUAUAACACAACACCCGGCCGCC